CUAGGCAAGUCAGUUAAGAACAACACAUAUCACAAACCCACACAUAUAUUUCCACAAAUGUAAACACAUGUAAACAUGUACAUACAUUGACCACUACUAAUGUUGAUUGACCACUACUAAGUCUGAUAAUAUGAUGUUGGUAUUACAGUACUCAUAUAAGAGCAAGUCACUGAUUGGCUGAGACGACACACUCUGUACACAGGAAAACCACACUUCCUGUUGUUGUUGCCAAGGUGCUGUCAUUCAGCCUGAGGAAGAGAGUCCAAAUGUUAUUAUUGUUGUAUAGGUCACACUCUGCUGGUAUUGAUGGAUGGUAUAGGUCUCACACUCUGCUGGUAUUGAUGGAUGGUAUAGGUCUCACUCUGCUGGUAUUGAUGGAUGGUAUAGGUCUCACACUCUGCUGGUAUUGAUGGAUGGUAUAGGUCUCACUCUGCUGGUAUUGAUGGAUGGUAUAGGUCUCACACUCUGCUGGUAUUGAUGGUUGGUAUAGGUCUCACUCUGCUGGUAUUGAUGGAUGGUAUAGGUCUCACUCUGCUGGUAUUGAUGGAUGGUAUAGGUCUCACACUGCUGGUAUUGAUGGAUGGUAUAGGUCUCACUCUGCUGGUAUUGAUGGAUGGUAUAGGUCUCACACUCUGCUGGUAUUGAUGGAUGGUAUAGGUCUCACUCUGCUGGUAUUGAUGGCUGGUAUAGGUCUCACACUCUGCUGGUAUUGAUGGAUGGUAUAGGUCUCACUCUCUGCUGGUAUUGAUGGAUGGUAUAGGUCUCACUCUCUGCUGGUAUUGAUGGAUGGUAUAGGUCUCACUCUGAUGGUAAUGAUGGCUGGUAUAGGUCUCACACUGCUGGUAAUGAUGGCAGGUAUAGGUCUCACUCUGCUGGUAAUGAUGGCUGGUAUAGGUCUCACACUCUGCUGGUAUUGAUGGAUGGUAUAGGUCUCACUCUGCUGGUAUUGAUGGAUAGUGUAGGUCUCACUCUGCUGGUAAUGAUGGCUGGUAUAGGUCACACUCUGCUGGUAUUGAUGGAUGGUAUAGGUCUCACACUGCUGGUAAUGAUGGAUGGUAUAGGUCUCACUCUGCUGGUAUUGAUGGAUGGUACAGGUCUCACACUCUGAUGGUAUUGAUGGAUGGUAUAGGUCUCACACUCUGCUGGUAUUGAUGGCUGGUACAGGUCUCACACUCUGCUGGUAUUGAUGGAUGGUACAGGUCUCACUCUGCUGGUAUUGAUGGAUGGUAUAGGUCUCACACUCUGCUGGUAUUGAUGGCUGAGUAGGUACUGAAGUCAGAGUUCUGGACCCUCUUCGUCUUCUUUGGUCUCCUCUGUCCCUGACGGAUAUCCAACGAGGCGUAACACAGGUCUCCUUCCUC
rnacentral:lncRNA from 1 species